UACGUAGGCAGCAAGCGUUGUUCGGAAUUACUGGGCGUAAAGAGUGUGUAGGCGGUGCUCCAAGUCUGGUGUGAAAUCUCCCGGCUUAACUGGGAGGGUGCAUUGGAAACUGGAAUGCUAGAGGAUGGGAGAGGUAAGCGGAAUUCCUGGUGUAGCGGUGAAAUGCGUAGAUAUCAGGAGGAACACCUGUGGUGUAGACAGCUUACUGGACCAUUUCUGACGCUGAGACACGAAAGCGUGGGUAGCAAACAGG
rnacentral:rRNA from 1 species